AGCAAUAUUAAGAUUCAUUGUUCAUCUAAAUAAGUUUUUAUUAGUUAGCGCAAAAAUAAAAACUCGUUUGGAGAAACAAAAAAUGGUUAAAGCGAUUAAAUAUUGUUUUUCAAUACAUUAAAAUUGUUUGCCAUCUUCUAAAGUUGUUUACUCACUUCAGAAUACAUAUGAUACUCUCUAAUGGGAAGAAUCCCAUGAGCCAAAACCAAUUGUCUUUGGAGUAGAAAAAACUUAUAGAUCUUUUUGUGGAAUCAUAACCCUAGAUUCAGUAGGGUUUAUUGAAAAAGGAAAAGAUAAUACAUAUCCUAACAAGACAUAUCCAAACUAAUCCACAAAAAAACUAGACGAUUCGUGAUAUAUUGGAGAUAUCAAAUGUACGAUGUGGCUUCGAAUUCCUGCCAAAUUCAAAGGGAUCUAAAAGGUCUUUAAUGAUUCUUCAUAUGUCAUGAAUUUCUACUACAUUGGGAUGAAAGUAAGUUAGUUAGUUUUUAUUUGUUUGCUUUUCAUUUUUGCUAA
rnacentral:sRNA from 1 species